UGUGAAAGGGGUAGGACUUUCUUUCCCUUCUUUAUUCCCCUCUUUUAUAGGCCAACAGAGCAAAUCUUUCUGUGUAGAAAACCCUCCAUGCCUUGUGGACACAAUAUGUUCUUGUUUAUUGCCUAAAAGUAACAAAAAGGCUUUAUGCAGAUUAAAAAGUCCAAGAUCUAGAAAAACUAACAAUUUCGCACCAAAUUCUGCUAUUGUUCAAGGUUCUAGCUAUAGUUAUUCUACUAGGUUUAAAAUGUGCAUUGUAAGUCUUUGCUGUGAUGAUACUUGGGAGUUUUUUCUUAAAGGUUGAGCAAUUUGAGUAGAUAAAAGUGUAUCAAGGUGUUUGGGGACAGAGAAUGAAUAUUAGCAAUGACAAAUUUGAUUGCAAGAAAUUGAACCACGAUUCAACCUAACUUAGUGAAAAACCACUGGAGUAUCUCCUGGACUCCGAGGACAGAGAGGCAGCUGGAUUUCCAGAACAGAACUACGCUCUGCAGUUCUGAGUAAGCUCCUUGAGGAUGGGCCGUAACUGUUGUGUUCAGCAGUGAACAUCUAGC
rnacentral:lncRNA from 1 species